rnacentral:rRNA from 1 species
AUUGAACGCUGGCGGCAGGCCUAACACAUGCAAGUCGAGCGGAUGAAGGGAGCUUGCUCCUGGAUUCAGCGGCGGACGGGUGAGUAAUGCCUAGGAAUCUGCCUGGUAGUGGGGGAUAACGUCCGGAAACGGGCGCUAAUACCGCAUACGUCCUGAGGGAGAAAGUGGGGGAUCUUCGGACCUCACGCUAUCAGAUGAGCCUAGGUCGGAUUAGCUAGUUGGUGGGGUAAAGGCCUACCAAGGCGACGAUCCGUAACUGGUCUGAGAGGAUGAUCAGUCACACUGGAACUGAGACACGGUCCAGACUCCUACGGGAUGCAGCAGUGGGGAAUAUUGGACAAUGGGCGAAAGCCUGAUCCAGCCAUGCCGCGUGUGUGAAGAAGGUCUUCGGAUUGUAAAGCACCUUAAGUUGGGAGGAAGGGCAGUAAGUUAAUACCUUGCUGUUUUGACGUUACCAACAGAAUAAGCACCGGCUAACUUCGUG